AGCUACAAAUGAAAUAAAAGACAGAUCUGAUUUCAUACCCAUUAAUGGAACAUUCAGGAUUAGUGACCUGCAACACAGUGACAGUGGUGAUUAUAACCUUACAGUCUUUAGUUCAGAUGGGAAGCGGGCAGAAAAUCGGACUCUUCAUUUGUCUGUUCAAGGCAGUUCUUCAUUGAGCAUUGGACUUAUCACUUCAAGUAUUUUCGGCAUUUUUCUUCUUUUCAUCAGUUUAAUUGUCGUCUAUGCACGGAGGAAAAAACAAAAACGCAGAGAAACGGAAGAUCCCAGCGAUUUAACCUACGCUGUUGUUACAACAGUGCAGAAGCCAUCGAGGAGCUCAAUUAAGCAAAAAGUGGAAGAGGAAGUGGAAUAUGGCCAGAUCAAGUCUGCAGGCUGAUUUUCAGCUCUUUAAAACAGACAUCCUGAACUGAAUAUCAGUUCAAAUAAUGUACAAUGUUCUGAGGACAGACAGAUGAAAAAGCUGGAAUCCCCUUUUAUUGCGAUUUUACAUUAGAAAAAUUUACAACCCAUUAAAGCUCAUAAUGCAGGAUGUCUGAUGUUGCCACAAAUGUUUUGAUCACGGCGAAGUUUAAUUUGUUGAUGCUCUGCAUUGAUAUUCCCUAAAAUACUAGGAAGUAGUUUUGCUAAUUGGGAAAAUUGUGCAUGUUUAGUUUUAGUUAUUUUGCACAAAAUGAUCAAAAACUAUUUUUAGACAGUCAAGAUGAGGACACCAUAGAGUAUACAUUGUAAACCAUUUUAUACUGUGUUACUGAGAUAUGUAUUGUAAACUGUUGUCUUUUAUUGUUCAAUAUGCAUUCACUUUUUGAACUUUUUAAAGAGGAAAGUUCCUACUCAGUUGCACAUUCCUUGGAUCAUAAGUUCAACAUGUUUCUAUUUCCAAUAACUUCACAGUUUUUUUUUAUUAUUAUUAUUUUAAAAUCUUGAACAGCGUGAUAUUGCUGCCAUGGCAUUUAAAAUAUUUUUUAACACUUUUUCAUCUUUUCUAUGAACCUAUAUGGAAUACUGGUAUUGAACCUGAA